rnacentral:misc_RNA from 1 species
AAGUCGUAACAAGGUUUCCGUAGGUGAACCUGCGGAAGGAUCAUUAUCACGUAUCCACGUAUCAACCAUUGUGAACUGUUGCGACCGUUGAAAUUCGAAAAAAAGAGUGUUAUAAUAAACGUUUGUUGAAAAACAACAAACAAUAGUGAUUUGAAAUUGUUUGAGUUUAUUAUAACCUACACACAUUCGUGUGUCUUUCUGAAAUUUUCAACGAGUAUUUUUUCAAAUCAUUUUUAUUAACUAUUCAAACCCUAAUUUAAUUAAUUUUGAACUGAUAUAAUUUCUUACUUACUUUUAUUUAGUAAGAAGAAAUAAUAUAUUACGAAACAUAAGAACAACUCUUAGCAACGGAUAUCUUGGUUCUC